GUUUUGCCCUUUGUAAAGAUGGCCGCGGAGGCUUUUGGAGCCAACUGGAAGUGUAGUGAGCGUUUUCUGGUGCAUGGGCAGAGAGGACAGGAACAAGCGCAGCAUUCGUGGACACCGAUUGGCUGAAGCGAGAAGCUCCCCUCCGCUGACUGGCUCGGGCAUUCGCGGGAAGGAGUUUGUGGCGCCAGAAAAAAGUAUCCAGAGCCGCGGAGUAGCGGCCGAGUUCUGGGUUGUUCCGCAACUUCCCCAGAUCCGAACCUUCUCGCCCUCUUUGCGGAGAAUCGAGACCAAGAUGUGGAACAGUGGAUUCGAAAGCUAUGGCAGCUCCAACUACGGGGGAGCUGGCGGCUACACGCAGUCCCCGGGGGGCUUUGGAUCGCCCGGACCUUCUCAGGCCGAAAAGAAAUCAGUAGGUUGAAAAGAGUAUUUGGUUUUGUUUUAUCCUGUCUUGAAGUCCCUAAGUCAUCUGUGAUAGAAACUUUAAUGCCGUUACGGAAGAGUUCAACACGAACUGAGGCUAUAAUGAUUGAUUCUUAUCCGAAUCUCUUUUCCCUAGCUUUUCUCCUUGACUUUAUUUUGAAAUUGAUCAGUGUAGCUAAUGAAUCAGUCUUGUGUAAACGCUCUCAACUUGUUUUUUGUCUUUUUUAAAAAAAAAUUUUAAAAAUAGAGAUGGGGUCUCACUAUGUUGCCCAGGCUGGUCUUGAACCCUGAGCUCAAGCUAUCCUCCCACCUUGGUCUCACAGAGUGCUGGGGUAAUAGGUAUGAGCCACUACUCCCUGAACUUGCAUUAAUAGUCUGUUUUACCUUCUUAAUGUCAAAGGUGUUUUUAAAUUAAAUGUGGUGAGGCGACUCGGGUCUUUGGGCCAGGUGCAGUGGCUCACAACUGUAAUCCCAGGACUUUGGGAGGCUGAGGCAGGCGGACUGCCUGAGGUCAGGAGUUCCUGACCUGCCUGGCCAACAUGGUGAAACCCUCCCUCUACUAACAGAACAAAAAUUAGACGUGUGUGGUGGCAGGGGCCUGUAAUCUCAGCUACUAGGGAGGCUGAGGCAGGAGAAUUGCUUGAACUCCAGAGGCAGAGGUUGCAGUGAUCCAAACUCGUGCCAUUGCACUCCAGCCUGGGCAACAGAGCACAACUCCGUCUCAAAAAAAGAAGAGUGGUCUUUGAAGUCAUAGAUGUGUGUUCUGCCAUUGCUGUGCUGCUUUACUUGUAGGGUGUCACUGCACACAUUUCUUAACUGACUUGGGAGUCAGUUUUGUACCUAUGAAGAGGGGCUAACAUAUGUCACAAUGUCAUUGUGAGACUUAAUAUUAUAUACAAAGAAUAUAGGCUAUGAAGCCAGAACAUGAAGCCUCCAGAAUCUAUUUUUUUUUUUUUUUUUUUUUUUUAAUGAAACGGAAUUUCACUCUUGUUGCCCGGAGCUGGAGUGCAAUGGCGGGAUCUUGGCUCACAGCAACCUCCACCUCCCAGGUUCAAGCGAUUCUCCUGCCUCAGCCUCCUGAAUAGCUGGGAUUACAGGCAUGCACCACCAUGCCCAGCUAACUUUGUAUUUUUAGUAGAGAUGGGGUUUCUCCAUGUUGGUCAGGCUGGUCUCGAACUCCCGACCUCAGGUGAUCGCCCGCCUUGGCCUCCCAAAGUGCUGAGAUUACAGGCAUGAGCCACUGUACCCAGCCCAUUUUGCCUUUUAAGUGGCAUUGUGACUUAAGGAAAGAAUCUUGAAGACUGUGACCCUUGGUUUUUCUCAUCUGAUGAUACUCGUAGUACUCAUGUCACAGGGUGGUUCUGAGAAUUGAUGAGUAAGGUAAUGUAUAGGAAAUCGAUCUAUAGAAAGCUGUCUAAAUGUUGAUUAGUCACUCUUUCAGAGAUAAGUUUGCCUUUUUUUUUUUUUUUUUGAGACUGGGACUCACUCUGUCCACCAGGCUGGAGAGCAGUGGCGCAUGAUCACAGCUCACUGCAGCUUGGACCUCUGGCACUCAGGUGAUCCUCCCACCACAGCCUCCCUAGUAGCUGGGACUACAUGUGUGUACCACUGUGCCAGGCUAAUUUUUGUAUUUUUUUUUAGAGGUGGGAUUUGGCCAUGUUGGCCAGGCUGGUCUCAAAUUCCUAACCUCAAGCAAUCUGCACGCCUCAGCCUCCCAAAGUGCUGAGAUUACAGGUGUGAGCCACCGCUCCUAGCUGAGUUUAACAAGUGCAUUUUCAUUCUAUAAAUGUGGAGUUAAUUUGACUUCUUUUUAAGAGUCACUUAGACGUGUUAACAUUUGGUGUGAGCAGGCUGUAUAUUUUGUGUACAGAUUGAUAAGCUUUUACCUAAAAGUGUUAAUUCAGGGAUGUGCAUUGGUGGGAAAAAAGUUCAUUCAUAUUCUGGUAUAUUUGGACAUUGCUUUAUAUCUUUUAUAUAAAUUAAUUAUAUAAUUCUGCAGGGAAUUUAUUGUUUAUUCCAGCAUACAGCAGAGGCUCAGGUAUACCAAGGGACUGCCUAAGCUUACAUAGCUAGUAAGGAACUGGAGUCAGACAAUACACACAUGAGGCCGAACAAAUCCAACAUCUGAUGAGCAGCAGCUUCUCCCUGUUGUAGUUUUCUCUUUCCUAGAAGAUUUCAAGGGACUUUAAUUCUCUAUUUUAACUUUCUUGAGGUUGUAAAGGAGAAAACAGGUAGAUGAUUGGGUCUCAUCUUUUCUCCCCAAGCUUAAUUAUUUUUCUCCAUUCUGUCUGUUAGAAUUUUUAUCUCAAAAUUCCUAAAAGGUAUGUAUUAAGACAGCUUUUCAGAGAAUAAUGAUUGUUAUAAGUUGGAGACUCAAGCCCAGUCUCUGGAUUUUUUUUUAUUUUUGUGGAGACAGGGUCUCACUAUGUUGCCCAGGCUGGUCUCAAACUCUUGGGCUAAAGCAAUCCUCCCACCCCUGCCUACCAUGGUGCUGGUAUUACAGGCAUGAGCCACCAUGCCUGGCUAGUCUUUUUGUGUUUAUUUAUUUAUUUGAAAUGGAGUCUUGCUCUGUUGCCUAGGCUGGAGUGCAGUGGAAUGAUCUCAGCUUGCUACAGCCUCUACCUCCCGGGUUCAAGCAAUUCUCCUGCCUUAGCCUCCUGAAUAGCUGGGAUUACAGGCAUGCGCCACCCUGCUCGGCUAGUUUUUUUAAAUUUGUAGUAAAGACGGGAUUUCGCCAUGUUGGCCAAGCUUGAUCUAACCUCAAAUGAUCCGCCCCCCUUGGCCUCCCAAAGUGCUGGGAUUACAGGCAUGAGCCACCACGCUUGGACAAGCAACUGCUCUUGAGAAUAGAGCCACAAUCUUAACCUUCAAGCUGGGCUGCUGCCUUUUGUGGCAUAUGUGCCAGCGGUCGACUGAGCUUCCUUUAUCCUGUUGUGACAAUACUCACCAUUCAAAAUCAUGCUUCAGCAGAGUGUAAUGUUGUCAGUGUCACGGAUGUUCAGGUCGGAGUUGCGAAUGCUAAAUCCAUGAAGACCAGGAGUACUGUGUUCUAAGUCUUCCAUGUAGUACAGGUAUUGGUCCACUCUCUCGGCUCCUUUUUAUUUAUUUAUGAAUGAAACGGGGUUUCUCCGUGUUGGUCAGGCUGGUCUUGAACUCCUGACCUCAGGAGAUCCACCCGCCUUGGCCUCCCAAAGUGCUGGGAUUAUAGGCAUGAGCCACUGCGCCCAGCCUCUCUUGGCUUCUGAUAGGAAUAACUCAUCAUUUUUGUGCCUUGUACAUAUUCCCUAUAGGAGACUGUGGGAGUACAUAUUUGCCCUUAGCCUGUUACCUGCUAGUUUUUCACUGCUGAAAUUCUCAUGCUUCAUAGUUUAGCCUAAAGCCUCCCUCUGUUCCCAGUAAGCUUUUCUGAGGUCCCACAUGGCACGUUUCAUUUUUCAGUGUAUCAAGAUCAGGUUUGUGGUUUAUUUACCUUUGUACCUCCCCUAGAUUAGGAAUGUGUUGAGGGUAAAUCCUAUUCCAUUGUACUCAUUUUUAUGUUACCCAGACUACCCCUUGCCACUGGUAGGCAAAAAUAAGUUUACACUGUUGUCUAGCUGCUUUAAGAUAUGAUUUGGGCUGGGCAUGGUCACUCACGCCUGUAAUCCCAGCACUUUGGGAGGCCAAGGUGGGCAGAUCAUCUGAGGUCAGGAGUUCAAGACCAGCCUGGCCAACAUGGUCAAACCUCAUCUCUACAAAAAAAUACAAAAAUUAUCCAGGUGUGGUGGCAUGUGCCUGUAAUACCAGCUACUCGGGAGGCUGAGACAGGCAAAUUGCUUGAACCCAGGUGUUUGAGGUUGCAGUGAGCCAAGAUUGUGCCACUGUACUUUAGCCUGGGCAGAAAGUGAGACUGUGUCUCAAAAAAAAAAAAAAAAAAGAUAUGAUUUGAGUGUCCUCACUAGAUACCAUUCUGCCCACCCCAUCUGGCCUCUUCCCCCUAAGAUGUCCAACAUGAGUCCAGCACAGUGGCUCAUCCCUGUAAUCCCAACACUUUGGGAGGCUGAGGUGGGAGGAUCACUUGAGACCAAGAAUUUAAGACCAGCCUGGGCAACAUAGUGAAACCCUAUCUCUACAAAAAAAAAUUUUUUUUCAAUUGGCUGGUGUGGUGGUGUGCCUGUAGUCCCAGCUACUCGGGAGACUGUAGCAGGAGGAUUGCUUGAGCCCAUGAGUUUGAGGCUGCAGUGAGCUAUAAUCAUGCCACUGUACUCCAGCCUGAGUGACAGAACAAGACCCCAUCUAAAAAAAUAAAAUUUGCCAGUCACAGUUGCUCAUGCCUGUAAUUCCAGCACUUUGGGAGGCCAGGGCGAGUGGAUCACCUGAGGUCAGGAGUUCAAGAUGAGCCUGGCUAACAUGGCGAAACCCCUUCUCUACAAAAAAUACAUAAUGGUGGGACACACCUGUAAUCCCAGCUACUCGGGGGGCUGAAGCAGGAGAAUCACUUGAGCCCAGGAGGUUGAGGUUGCAGUGAGCCAAGAUGGCGGCAUCGCGUGCUAGCCUGAGCAACAAGAGCAAAACUCUGUCUCAAAAAAAUAAAAUUUUAAAAGAUGACCAACAUGGCCAAGCUCUUAUUUCAUUUCCCCAGGAGCUCCAUUUGAUUGUCAAAAAAUCUGUCCUAUGAGAAGCUAUUCUUCUACCUAUUAUAGUUUAUCACAAGAUCUACAGCAAUUCCAAAGUCCUGUUUCCACUGGCCAUUUCUCAAACCUUUUCCCAAUACCAUCUCAUUUUGUCAGUGCCCUGAACAGCAACAUCCACCUGUCUACACCCUAAAGCUGGUGUUUCCUCUUGAAGGUCUGUUCUGGCAGCAGUAGGUCAUUCUUCCUUUUCCUGUCCUCCACACUCUAACAUACUCAUUUUGGUGAAUUCUCAGUGCAACGCAUUUGUCUAUUCAGCAGAAGCUCUGGAGUUAG
rnacentral:lncRNA from 1 species